GCCUACAGCCAGACCGGGCUGAUCACACCCAAUCCUGUCCAAUCUCGGAAACUAAGCAGUCCCGGGCCCGGCUAGUACCUGGAUGGGAGACCGCCUGGGAAUCCCGGGUGCCGUAGGCU
rfam:Alligator mississippiensis ScZkoYb_106, whole genome shotgun sequence.